rnacentral:rRNA from 1 species
ACGCCUGCCCGGUGCUGGAAGGUUAAGGGGAUCUGUUAGAGCAAUCGAAGCAGUGAACUUAAGCCCCAGUAAACGGCGGCCGUAACUAUAACGGUCCUAAGGUAGCGAAAUUCCUUGUCGGGUAAGUGCCGACCCGCACGAAAGGCGUAACGAUUUGGGCACUGUCUCAACAACAGACUCGGUGAAAUUGUAAUUCCGGUGAAGAUGCCGGAUACCUGCGACAGGACGGAAAGACCCCAUGGAGCUUUACUGUAGCUUGACAUUGGGUCUUGGUACUACAUGUACAGGAUAGGUGGGAGGCUUUGA